AUUCGGUAAACGCACCAAACGUGGCAAAUAUCGAUCAAUAUUGAGCACAAGUUUAUCAUUUCAAGAUGGAUGCUGUUCGUGUGCUGACGUUGCUUGCACUGUCAAGUUUUGUAUUUUGUGAUUCAAUUAAGGACCAGGUCGUCGUCAAAGCAGUUGUUGAGAGCUGCUCCGGAUGACGAUUGAAUCGUUUACCAGAGGUUAAGAAGUUCAUUUAUGAGGACGUCCCUCUGUUUCACGAUGUUUACUUUAAGCCAAAGGGCGGAGCUCCGCCUGUCCUUCAGCUUGUAAAUAAAGAUGAGGAAGUUGUAGAGGAAAUUAGUUUAGAUAAAAAAUCUCGUGAAGAUUGUAAUAAUCUUUUAGAGUUACUUGGCUUCGUCAAGAAAGAGAGCGAAGAUGAUGAUAUAGACAACGAUGAUCGGAGCAAACCGGUUUAUUACACGCAGGAACAGAUCAGACAGAAAGGUGUCCGAGAUCAUCAUGCUCGCGAGGAAGGUGACAAGGAAAUAGAUGAUGAAAGAGACGAGUUAUAAUUCAUCAAUGUUGUAGGAAAUUUUUUUUUUUUAAGUAUUUGUAAAAUCUUUCGUUUCAGUCAUUGUUCAUUAUGCCAUAGAUUGAUUCUUCCUUAUUUUUGACAGUUGUUUUUGGUGUUGUUUUUUUUUCUUUUGAGGCGUUAUGUAUGUGCUCCCCUAAAAAAUUGAUUUUUUUUAAUCAAUAAUAAGAUCUGUAAUAGUGAAUAUGAGAAGUGAAAAUUUUAAGAUCACAUAACAUGUGUUAAAAAAAUAGAAUAAAAUAUUUACUACUUGUAUCUUAUACAAUUACUUGUUUUAUAUUAAAGGUCAAAAUUUAAAUAUUUUGCCAUCUGGCCAAUCAUACAUGUCAUGUAUUUUCAAUGCUGAAUGCAGUUCAAAAUUAAUUAAUAAAUUAAUUACAAAUUCAUGUGAUAACUAGUUUAGAAAUUGCUUAACUCAUUUGUCACUUUUGACAACUUUUACAUAGUUCUGUGCAUAAUUGUAUACCUCUUUCUUCCAUAUUUUCAUGGUACACUGCAUAAAUUUUAUGAAGGUUUAAAAUAUGGUGUAUGUUGUAUUACUGUUUACUGUAUGGCUGGAUGUUGUAUAAAUGUCUGUUUUAAUUCUGUUAUAAGAUACAGAAAGUAAAAUUGAAGAUUAACAUGAAUAACAGAAUUAGGUUUAUCUUGGAAUCAAAACUGAGACUUUAUGAUUAUUGUGCCAGUAAAUAUAAAAACUUUUUUUUUUGUUAAUCUGAAAGUUUAUAUACUAUGAACCUGAGAUAUCUGGCAGGAAUAAUUUCUUUAUAAUAAAUGCAGGCUAACCUGGGCAGAGUUACAAUAUAACCAGGCUCUAUACCAUAAGUUGUUGAAUAGGGUUGAUAAAAAACACUGUGUGAAGAGUAAAUUUAACUGAGUAAGGAAAGAACAAAUUUUAUUUGCUGAGUGUCAAUCUACAAGUAUAUACAUUGUAUAGGGUGAGCGUAACCAUGGUUAUUUGUUCUAUAUUAAGGAUUAGAUUUUGUGAUAACAACAUGUGCUGUAUAGUAAUGAAAAUCUGUUACACCAAAGCUUAUAUAUAGUUAAGAAUAUUGUAACAUCUUGUUAGAAUAUAAAGCCUGUAUUGUUUUAUGUUAGAAAACUGGAUAUAAUACUGGGAUUUAUUUAGCUAGCUAUGCUAUAAACGGUUGUUAAUCAAAUAUUUCUAUUAGCAUAUAAUGGUAAUGAGGCAAUUUUGUAGGGAAAAAUGUGUGAUAUAUAAUUGAUGAGUAUAAAAUAUGAGGGUUUUUUUAAUAGUAAAAAAAGAUCAUGAAAUUGUUACAAUUGUAUAAGUAAAUUAAGAUGAAUAUUAUUUGUAUGUGUAUAUGUAUAUUAAUGUACUAGCAGUCAAACAGUGCUAAUUAAGUAUGAUUGUAAAUUAUUUUUACCUUUAACUGUGAAUGUUUUAUCACCAAAUUGCAAUUCUUUGUAUUGUGUAAUUGACAAAUAAUGGCAUUAGGUAGGUAAAUGUAAGAUGAUUUUUUAACAAUGUUGAAAUUGUGUUCAUGUAUGCAUUUAUCACUAACGUUUUAUGCAAGAUAUCAUUUCUGUUUGAUGUGUAUCAUUAAAGGCACAUUAUGCCUCAAAAAUCUGUAUCUUUAAAGAAACAGAAACGACAAAAAUGUAUUUAAUAAUGUUUUAAUAAUGGAUUUAGAGCAUAUGAGAUGUUUAAGCAGAAAGUACCGCUGAAUUUGCAAUAAUGUGCCCUAAAAGGUAGCACAAUGUUAAGAAAGUAGUAUAUUGACAACCAUACAAAAUACUAAUUCCCUAUCAAUAUAGCAAUUGCCAACAAAGCAAAAGAAGCAAAAAUAGUUCAUCUAUAUAGCAAAUGAGUAUGUUGUGGAAACCGUAACAAGAUACCAAAAAUAAAAAGGUUUUGAGAAAUAAAAAUGAUGGCAUUUCUGAAGAAUAAUGGGCCUUUGAUGCAUCUAGAACAGUAUUUAUGAUUAAAUGAAAGUGUUAUUGUAUAAGAACACUCAUAUGUGAUGUGAACUCAUUUAAAGGCCAGCAUAUUUAUAUCAACGAAACCUAUGUAUAUAAUUAAGUGAAAAAAUGCAAAGUGGGUAAUAUGGACAGCAUUUGUAUUAUAUAUGCAAUGUAUACAUGAAAUAGCUGGAUUUAGUGUUAUGAUUUCGUUUCUAUAGUUACCUCAGUCACGCUUAUAAUAUUUCAUCUUAUCAUCAUGUGUUUUGAUUUUUGAAUUUCUUGGUUAUGUUCCUUUUCAAACCAACUUUUGUCAUCGUUCUAUCCAAGAACGCGGGAGAAUGUAUUGAUGACGUCAUCUGUGUAACGCUGUAUGGCCUGCAGAAGACCGAUGUAUUACCCUACGGCCUCCUGUCUUCUUCAGAAUUUUGUCAAAGUUCGAUUUAUUGGAUCAGCCAGUUUGUGCUAUUUUAUGAUUUUAUAAGGGACUGUGUCCCUUGCUUUUGUUAUGUUGUUUAUAAUCAUGUCAAAUGGUAUAUACCAAUGAUAAUGAGAAAAUAA